rnacentral:lncRNA from 1 species
UAUUGUCUUCCUCCCAGCCUUAUAACAACACACCAUGACAGAAGCACAUCCGAAUUAUUUAGUCCAACAUAAGCAUAUAUAUUACAUGCAUCCUUCUUUCUAUUCUCAUUUGCUAUAGUACUGAGAGAUGUUGCUCACUAGCCACAGCGGCAAUCCACGCAAGCACAGGUAGCACCGCACUUGCAAUUGCCCUCGGGUUCAGCAGCAGCUGGGGCAUUGACGACAUUGUCUGAAUAGCUGAAAGAUAUGACAUGGAACAAACGUUAUUUUAGGAUCUGUGCACAUGAAUGAUGAAAACUAGAGCUUCCUUCCAUAAGUCUUUAAGGUCUAAGUUAGCCCAUUUUCUUAAAAUAAUAAUAAUAAUAAUAAAAGAAAGAAAGAAAGAGAGGAAUAAGCGUUAGCCAUGAGAGUGUUUCAUGGAUUGACCUGGUCCAAACUUGAGCACAAAAGUGUGAUCACAGGAUUUCUUGACCUAAGGUUUUUUUGGAGGGGAAUAUGUGAGAACUUCAACGAUCACAAUUACUUGGGUCAAACAUUAUAGAAACAUUACCCCACCAAAAUAUCUCCUGCCAUAUGGAUUGGUUCAACUAUAGGGCUAUAGUUUAAUUUGUCUAAUAUAUUUACUUGAAGCAAAGAGAGAUUUGUACCUCUUCUCGGUCUCAAUGAUCUCGAUGCCAUAGCUGUUUCCCUUCUUCCUGCAAAUUUCAGGUCAGUUUCUUUAUUAGUAUGCUAAAAUUAACAAGAAAAAUCUAUUUAUCACGUCCAAUGAAAGGUUUCUUUCUGUUCUUCCACCAAAUUUUAGCGUAUCUUACGUGAGUGGACAUAUGCAGAUAUGCUAUGUUAUUCCCACUAAAGUUCUCUUCAAAAAAUAAAAAAAGAAACAAAAAAUCCAGCCAAACGAUCUUUAGGAAGAUUUUAUCUGAACUGAACCUAGCAAACUUUUGGAUGUGAAAGAUCUGAAACUCAAAAAAAUUCUGAAAUUGAUAGAAUUCUCAUAAAUUUUCUGAUUAUUAUGAUGUAGAAAGAAAGGUAUUAUUAGUCUUGCAUUGAUUGUGACUCAAGGGAUACUUUGACUUAUAUAGAAAGGGAUCAUCCUUUCCCACGUGAGGUGCUUUUUGAAGAGUAAAAUCAUAAAACCCAAACGAUCUAUACAGCUUCCACACCUUAGGCCGUAGAUAGGAGCGGACAAUACCUCACAUGCCGAGCUAUGAACUUUGGACUACAACACUGAUAAUAUGAAGUUGUAAGUUUAAAAAUAAUAGAUUAUAAUCUAAAAGCUCCUCCUUCAAUUCUCUAUAUGCCACAAUUUCUUGGUUGCUUUAUUUCUAAUUUUGGGUAGAAGCUUUUCUUUUUCAUAUUGGAUGAGGAUUGAAUCUAAUUCAAGUUCUUGUAUCGGCGUGAAAUAUUUUACCAACUCGGUCAGCAUGCACCCAAUGCUAUCUAACAUAACAUAUAACGUAUCAAAACAGAGGUUCUAGGACAAGGUAAUCAUACUACGAGAACCCAAACGGAUCUACGAUUAACAAAAUUUUGCCCAUGACUAUUAGUCUAUAUAAGCUGCCUCCUAAAUAGAUGAAAAAUAUCAAUUUUCUUAUAGGAGAUGGCUACUCACACACACUGGCUCUUGUCAGCACAGUCGCAGUUGCCACAGGUCGACAUGGUGGAGGAUCAAAGCAAGAAACCAAAGGGAAUGUUUGUAACUCGGAUGGUUUUGCUCACGCUAUAUGUUUGUGAGGGCGGGCUGGAAUGGCAUUUAUAGGCAUUCAUGUGGCCAUGAGAGGUUAGCUGUUUGCGAGCCACACGACACGCUUCUCCCUGUG